rnacentral:rRNA from 1 species
UACGUAGGGGGCAAGCGUUGUCCGGAUUUAUUGGGCGUAAACGCGCGUAGGCGGCGCGGUAUGGCGUGCGUGAAAUCUCCCGGCUUAACUGGGAGGGGCCGUGCGAAACUGCCGGGCUUGAGGUCAGAAGGGGAAAGUGGAAUUCCGGGUGUAGUGGUGGAAUACGUAGAUAUCCGGAGGAACACCAGCGGCGAAGGCGGCUUUCUGGUCUGAUACUGACGCUGAGGCGCGAAAGCGUGGGGAGCGAUCCGG